CCUGCAAAUCAGUUCGCAGCAUCAAACAUCUGAGAAAAUGCAUGUGAGAGAUGCACAUAUGUACGCAUGCUAAAAUCUCUUCACGUAUGUCUGACUGCAAUUUUGAAGUGGGAAAUUUUAACUAAGAUGACAGGAAAUUUUGAAACCACAAAGGAACAGAUAGUUUGGCAGAAUUCACGUGUAUUCUUUAGAGCUUCUUGGAAAGCAUUCCUCAAAGGAUGGAAGCGGAAGAAAAUCAGGAGCAUUAGGAUCAACUGUGUGCUUCCGUUGCUUGGGCUUUUCUGUAUUUGUAGUAGGUGGAUCAAAGGUUAAUGUAGCUUUGGGGCCU